GCUCCUUCUUCUGAACCAGUUCCAUGAUGUGGUGACUGGAAGCUGCAUCCAGAUGGUGGCAGAGGAAGCCAUGUGCCAUUAUGAAGACAUCCGUUCCCAUGGCAAUACACUGCUCAGCGCCGCAGCCGCAGCCCUGUGUGCUGGGGAGCCAGGUCCUGAGGGCCUCCUCAUCGUCAACACACUGCCCUGGAAGCGGACCGAAGUGAUGGCCCUGCCCAAACCAGGCGGGGCCCACAGCCUAGCCCUGGUGACAGUGCCCAGCAUGGGCUAUGCUCCUGUUCCUCCCCCCACCUCACUGCAGCCCCUGCUGCCCCAGCAGCCUGUGUUCGUAGUGCAAGAGGUGAGUCCUGCAUGCCCUGGGGGGCAGGAGCUGUGCUGGGAUACUUUCUUACAACUGAGGGUCCUGAGCUCCCCUGCCUGGAGCAAGUGGUGAGGCGGGGCUGGGGUUGGGGUGGGAAGACUUUUGGUGUGGGAAGCCCCUACAGACUCAGCCUCAAGGCCUCCUCCCACAAAGACUGAUGGCUCCGUGACUCUGGACAAUGGCAUCAUCCGAGUGAAGCUGGACCCAACUGGUCGCCUGACGUCCUUGGUCCUGGUGGCCUCUGGCAGGGAGGCCAUUGCUGAGGGCGCCGUGGGGAACCAGUUUGUGCUAUUUGAUGAUGUCCCCUUGUACUGGGAUGCAUGGGACGUCAUGGACUACCACCUGGAGACACGGUAUAGGCUGGGCAGCAUGUGGUAUAGGCUGGGCAGCAUGUGGGGAUGGUGGAGGUGGUGGGAACACAGGCUGCUCUGGAUC
rnacentral:sRNA from 1 species